rnacentral:rRNA from 1 species
GCUCAGGAUGAACGCUGGCGGCAUGCCUAAUACAUGCAAGUCGAACGGAGCGAAUAUGGAAGCUUGCUUCUGUAAGAGCUCAGUGGCGAACGGGUGAGUAACACGUAGGUAACCUGCCCAUGUGCCCGGGAUAACUGCUGGAAACGGUAGCUAAAACCGGAUAGGUGAAUAGGAGGCAUCUCGUAUUCAUUAAAGGACCUGCAAAGGUGCGAACAUGGAUGGACCUGCGGCGCAUUAGCUGGUUGGAGUGGUAACGGCACACCAAGGCGACGAUGCGUAGCCGACCUGAGAGGGCGAACGGCCACAUUGGGACUGAGACACGGCCCAAACUCCUACGGGAGGCAGCAGUA